ACUCCUUCCACCACUCACUCACACUCCUCUCCUACCUCUCCCCCACGAAAUCCUGCUCCACCUAGCUACCAUGGCCGGCCAUGGCCAUGGAAAGGCACCUAGAUGAAGCUCCCCUCCUCCAUCAAGCUCAUCCUCACCAUGAGAGCAUCCCUCUCACUCUCUUCUCCCCUAACCCUAGAUGAAUCCAGCCCUAUUUCUCCUUUCUCCUCUCACAAGAUUGGAUCUUGAUGCAGGUGCAUGUUGGUCCAAGCAUGGAGAAGGUUGAGCAAUCCUCAGAUCUGAAGCUCUUGACCCAAGGGAUAUUUGGUUUAUACCAUGGUGAUAACCGAGAGAGGCAAUUGCUAAGUUGUGAUGCACUCAUACCUUUACUAGAUGCGAACAAUUCCGGAGAAGAAGAAGAAGUGGAAUCGGAUGAGAAGAUUAUUUAUAUUGUUGGAAUUCUUAUAUUGAUGGAGUUGAAGAAGUACAGGGACAAAUAAGACAAGGCAAGCCAUCUUUUGACCUCUGAUUCGGUGUCUAGUUGGAUGUCAUUUGUUGAUGUCCAAAGCACCUUGGUUCUAUGUGUGUUGUUCUCCUUAUUAUUGUCAUAUAUGUAUGGUUGCUAGUGGA